UAUUCUCAUUUUAUCAUUUUCAAUCCUUUCCCGGUUUCCCUAUUCGUUGCUCUGUGUUCCCACUCCGCCGCAGUGAGGACAGAGCAACGAAUGGGAAAACCGGGAAAGGAUUGAAAAUGAUGGAAUACGAAUAUUUACGUUUAUAGUGCCUUAGGCAGCGGUCCAUUUGAUGCUACAAACGCUAUAAUGCAAUUCUAACCAAUAAAAUCCGAUUGCACGAAUAUAAUGAUAGCAGACAUGAAGAUAAUACCGAAACAGUGGAGAAAAAAACGAAAAUAUUAUUUAAUGCAAGACAAUUUACAUAAUACCCUUUUUAUAUAUCACCCUUUUACGCAAAGAAGAUGGAAAAUGAAAAUACAAUCUGGUCGCGAAUCGCGCUUACAAUUAAUCAGACAUGAUUCUAAGAUAGAUAUAACAGAUAAUGUACGUCCCGGAUAUUUGUCAGCUGUCAAUAGAACUUUCUGACUGCAAUAUUGAAACAGCGUCAUCCAAGAAUAAAUCAUUACCAAACGUACCAACAUUUGACAACGAAGAAAUUGUGAGUAACACCAGCGAUGGCAGUAGCGAUAGAAUUUUCGACACUAAUACCGAAACAAAUAAUAACGUAUAUGAUAGCGAGAAAGUAUGUCUGAUUGUGAGUCAGAAAACACUGAGGGUGGCUUUUACGAUGAUGCACACGAUUUACAGAUGCCACAUAUUUGAAGAACAUGAUAAUGUUUGAAGAAUCUAACGAGUGCAUGGGAGGUUCUUAAUAUGAUUCAAGCUAUGGCACUAUGAUUUAAUUUUUCACAAGAAGCAAAGCAUGCAGUUAUCGAAUUUGCAUGAACCUUGGCUGGGUCAAAGUUCACAAAUUUUCAAAUGACGAAGUAUUCAAUUGCUAAAUUAUUCAAUCCUCCACACAAAAAUGUGUAACCUAUGUAUUUUAUUGUCCCGAAUGCUGUAUUUUAUUCUGCAGUGAUCCCAUGUUAAAGAGUGAUGUUGGACAGAAGAAAUCCAUAAGAUACACAAAAUGUGUAAAAGAUUAUAUGUUAUCAAUUUCAUCGAAUUAUUUUUUAAGUAUUGAUAUGGAAUAUCAACUCCGAUCUUUAUUGGAAAAUAAGAAUAUUGAACAUUUAUUACGCGAAAAUGCACUCCAUGCAAAAGUUAAAAAAUAGUGGUUUGACAACUAACAACUCAAUAUCUGACAUACAAGAUGGAUUGAUGUAUUUGAAUAACGAGUAUGUACAAAAAAAAUAUUCUGAACAUAAAAUCGUUUUAACAUUAAAUAUAAAUACCGAUGGUACUCCUAUCUUUGAGAGCAGUAAAAAAAGUAUAUGACCUCUUCAAUGCAUAAUUAAUGAAUUAUCCUCAAAAAUGAGAUUUAGAGCAUUAAUUUUGGCAUCAUUAUGGAUCACUACUGAAGAACCAAAAUCGAAAAUCAUGAAUAUUUACUUAUCCAUUUUUCUCCAACAACUUGAACGGUUAAUGAAUCGAGGAAUAUAGAUAAAGAAUAAUUUAGGUGAAACAAUUACAUAUUAUUUCAUAUUACUAUGUAUACCAGUUGACUCUGCUGCGCAUCCUAUUUUGCAAAAUCGAAUUCAACGGGUACUACGGAUGUUGGUGCUAUUUUGUUGGUAAAUAUAUAAGAUGUAUCAGAUACAUAAUGACUGAGGAGGAUCCAAUUCUCUGCUUGUGAGAACGUUCUCACAUCUGAAAGAUAUUAGCGACAGUGGAGUUUUAGGUAAAUCAAUGAAAGGGCAAUCGGAAAUGACGUGUUUACCUCACUUUGAUUGCAUAUGGGGAUUUCUAAUGGAAUAUAUGCAUGGGACAUUGCUAGGUAUCAUUAAACAAUUGUGGGAUAAGUGGAGUAAUACAUAUUUGAAGUCAUCUGAUAAAUCUGUAAUUGAUACUUGAUUAAUAUCUAUUAAACCAUCAUCGGAAAUUCAUCGUCUUCCGAGACUAUUACAAGACAGGGCGAAAUGGAAAGCGAUCAUGACUAUUGUAUUACAGUGUUCCAUGUUUAAAUGGCAUCCUGUCUAACGUAGUACUGAAUUCAUAUAUGCUUCUUGUAAAAAGCAUACAUGCUUUAUUGUCUACUAAUAUCACAGAAGAUAUACAAUGCGAGAUUGAUUACAAUUUAUCGGUGAAUGUCAAUGUAUAUGUGGUAAAGAGUUUAUGACUUUUAACGUGCACGUAUUAUUACAUUACGUGGAGAAUGUCAGAAAAAAUGGUCCGUUAUGGGCAACAUCAGCCUUUCCAUUUGAAAGCGAUAUGAAUUAUUUAAAUUUGAAUUAUUUAAAAUCGUGUUACUGGUCCUAGUGGCGUUCUUGAACAAAUAGUCAAUCGUACGUUACAAUUAAACAAACCGUGUUAUGGGUAUUCGAGACAUUAAGAAUAGCUAUUGUACAAAUUUAUUUCUAUACAGAUGAAUAAGUACACCAAAUGUAAUAAGAUCGGAUGAAGGAGCAAUAAUUAUAAAUAGUGCAGAAGCAGACAAAACUAAAAAAUAUUAUCUACAGAGAUACCAUUUUUCCAUUCAACAUCAUACACGCGACUAAAACACACUGAUAAUACUGUAAUACAGCUUGAGGACUUCACAGUCGUUCGGAUAUCUCAUUUUGUGAUAAUUAAUAGCGCCUGUUAUAUAAUUGUAAAAAAAAAAUUCGAAACUCGUCCGUUGACAUCGAAUACCGUCAACAUUAAUCAUAUUUUAAAGGUAGAAUCAAUACAUACGUCCACAACAACUAUAUCAAUCAAAGAAAUUAAAAAAAAGUUAAUAAACAUAAAUAUUACAAAUGGAAAUGAUAAUCUAUCAUAUGUAUGCAUUUCACCUAAUGUAAUCAAAGCACAAUAAAAUAUAAU